CACUGGGGUCCGGGGGUAGACCCUUAAACUUCAAAGAUAAACCAAAGCGUGAUAUUGAAGUUUAUUGUGUGGAAGACUUAAUGAUCAAUCACGCCAAUCACAUCAUUGCAGCAGAAAGAGUGCAUGACGCACACACUUUUACACAAAUUUGGUAUUUAGCUGAUCGUGGUGACGGGACUAAGUGCCUAAGGCGACGUGAUUUCUGUAGGUCCCACAUAAGCCCGCAGAGUUCUUUAGUAGACUAUUGUUGCAGAUUGGACGACAGUUAGCAGUUAAAAGCCCGUAUGCCAAGAUAUUGGCCGCCUCUGUAAAGCGUUCUGUAUCACCUUUGGUCAUAAGAAUCAUUGCCAACAGUGCUCCCAUACAACGUUCACGUCCCCUCACCACGCAGACACAUGAUGGUUAUUCUAUCAUUGAACACAUGCGGUCUGCGAUACGCAACGCUCCACAGACUAGUGAGACGGGGUUUGAUUGGCUGAACUCAGUAAUCGGGGGAUGAGGCUCGUGGAUAUUAACCGUCUGUUUACCAAUAGGUGCAAUAAUUCUUCUUGUCUUGCUCAUUUUGCCUUGUAUUGUUUCUCUCGUUCGGAGCAGUCUCUCACGCUCGUUGAAAUCACUAAUGACCAAACGCUGAUGUUGACACAGACUGAGUACGAUCCCUAUGAUGACCAACCUGACUCGUAUCCUAAACCUGACCGGGUAUCAGAUUCUCCCAGUAACACACUGACUAUGACGAUAACGAUGAUCUUGCUUGUGUACACUGUUUAUUACAUUUUUGAAUUACUUUUUUUUUUCUUUUCUUCAUAGAAUCACUUCAGGCACUGAUAUAACUGUCUUUUUUGUCAUAUCCAAUAUAGAAAAAAUGAUUAAACUUGCAUUUUUUUUGUUAUUUUACCUAAAGUAAAGUGUAACUUUAUGCACUUGGCUUCAUUGUACAGCAGUGCUGUAGUACUUUGGAAUGGAACAUUAUGACCUUUGACCUGCACUGUGAAAAUUCAGUUGAGUUUUUUUGCAGUGUUGUUUAACAUGUUUCUUUGUUUGUUUGAUGUUCUGUAAUGACUGAAGAUCAGCGCAGAAUUCACCAGACUUGUGUCGAUGGACCUGAGCAAGUCCUUUUAUGAGGGUCUUGACAAACACGCCUCAAAGCUGCUGUAUUUGUACAUUUGUACCGCUUGAGGCGCCAUGCAGACAUUGCAGAAAGGAGUGCCAUACUGGAGAGCCUGGAUAAAAAUGCAUCAAAUCACAGGAAGAGGGUUGCAGUACUGCUGGGGCUGCCACUGUCCAUGUGGGAGAAUCCAUCUCAGUUCUUAAAGAUCUGUGAGCACACAGAUUCUGAAGAAGAGUUAAUCAAGGGCGUGACCGCUGGAAUCAGUACAGUUGUGGAUGAUGUGAUGGACUCUAUUCUGUGUGACUGCAGUGAUGUAGCCCUUGUAAUCGAAGAAGUUGUCGUUCUACGCAAUCUUGGUGAUGUACCAAAUGCAUUUGUCAACUUGAUGGGAUUGCUUUAUGCACUUAACAUAAAGUACCCCAAAAACUUCACAUACACCUUUGAGGUCCUUCAGAGGCUGUUCAUGAACAUUGGAACUGAUGCCUGCAGUGCAUGAGUACAUUCACUUAAAAAUAAUCUGCUCAAGUAGAGAUGGUGUUAUGGAUUUCGUGUAAGAGAGAUUUCGUGUGUUGUGUGUAUGUUACAGUUUCUAUGCCUCAACAGCAUGACUUCAAUUUUGUUUUAUAUUUUCACCUUUAAACACUGGGCAAUUGAGAUGUAAUUUUGUUAGGCAAAAACAGAUUUCUGCUUGCUUUUUCUGUUUAUUUUGAGAAAUUCAUGUAAUUUCAUUUAUUUUUUACAAUUAUAAUAGAUUUGUUUACUCAAAUUAAUCUUACCAAAAUAUUACAUUUUUAACCUCACACAGGUUUGGUGAAAAACACUUUCAGUUUAGUCGCUGGUAUCCUCUUGCUCGUCUUUUGGCUGUGGGUUCGGCGCUCUCGUCCUGUUCUCUGUCUUGUUCCUCCUGAGACUCGUCCUGUUGCUGCUGUAAAACUACACUGCAGUAAAACUAUUAUUUCAUAGCACGUCAAUAACUACGGUUCUACUAAUUCUAAUUAAAAUAACUAGAUAGCUUAUUAGCUGAUGUGAUUGACCUGUCGGUUCUGUCCAAUUCUCUAUAUAAAUUUCAGCUGCAGUGUAGAGAGUACGGUGACCAAAGUCCAACUCUCACUCAAAUUAAAAAAAGUGAACCAGACGGCCUUGUAAAAACCCCAGUUUGGACGUCUUACCUUGCGUUUUCGUAAUUUCGUAGCGAAGCUGAGUAGCUUGUGAAAAGCUCUGGCCCUUUUCUUUUCACUCUGGCACUGUACUAGCAAAAUGACGUACCCUUUCUCAUUAUAUUUGUCUAUUUUCUCUUUUUUCUACACAUUCCUAUAUAUGCAUAAUCUUUUUUUUUAAGGCUAAUGGAUUUCUCUAUCCAGUCUUUCAAAGGACAUGGGCUAAAAUGUUUCCAGAUUUAAAGAAUUCACACAGUGGCGGAGAAACCUGUGGACUAGGGUUGAGGUGGGUUUCUUCCAGGUUCCAGGUUAUAAGUGGAGUGUUUAUGGUAAAUUGGCACUAUGUGUGAACGAGUGUGUGAAUGUGUGUGUGUGCGCACGGUGCUUUGCGAUGGACUGGCGUCCCAUUCAGGGUGUCCAGUUUUCUCAGGAUAGGCCCUGGAUCGGUCAUGAUCCUGACUAGGUUAAAGUUGUUACUGAAGUGAAUGAAUGAGUAUAUUCUGUCUAUUCUUUUUAUCUGCUUGUUGAAACACUACCAACCUGUUUUCAUUAAGCCAGAGGUUUCCUGUGGCGAAUUCCGCAUCACGUGAUGGAAAGGUUUUGGCCUCCUGCUGGUCACCUUUAACCCGGCGAGCUUGGCCUUGUUGAGUGGCGUGAGUCGCUUCAUAUUGAGCAGAAGCUCAGGCUUAUCCCGUUUGAAAUACGGGUUUUGAAAGUGGUGCAGUUGGGCUUUAAUGGAUGUGAUGUUGGUUUGCUUGUCUGAGACGUCACGGUCUGUGCGUUCUUUUCUGAAGCCCUACAGGUUCAGCUAGCAAACAAAACUGAUUAAGUCAGUCGUUCUGAAGUACUCUGACAAAUGCGUGGGUUGGGACAAAAGCACUUCAGCUUCAAAGGUUUGUUGAUGGGCAAAUAUUCCUUCCCCGCUGUCGUCCCACCAGACUGAGUGAAUCUGGGGAUCGUUCACCAAACGCCACAACUUUCCAGGGAAGUAGGUGGGGUUGAUGAAGGUGACAGAAGAUGCGUCAACGCUGGGUGGCGUAGCUCCCGGUAGCAAAUCAAUAGCGCAGUCAUAGGGCCGAUGAGGGGGUAAGCCACUCGCCUUUUUCUUACUAAAUGCCUCGCUGUAGGUACCGGUACUCCAUGGGAAUGUGGAUGGUUGUGGUACAGUUCGGACUUUCUACGGACGUGGUAGCUAACAUGAGUACAGGUGCCCGAAUACAAUUCUUAAUGCAAUGAAGGGACCAGUGCGUGAUUUCCUUCUGAGUCCAGGAAAUGACUGGAUUAUGGUGCUCUAGCCAGGGAAGGCCCAGGACCACUGGGUGUCGGGUGGAAAUCGUGACAUAAAAAACGAUACUCUCCUGAUGGAGUGCACUGGUUUGGAGGGUGGUUGGUGCGGUGCAGUCGGUGAUGAGCCCCCUCCCGAUGGGAGUACCAUCGAUGGCUUGGAUCCGGCGUGGAGUAUGUAGCGGUCGAACGGGGAUAUUGUAUUGCUUGGCGGUGGACUGGUCAAUGAAAUUCCCCGCUGCUCCUGAGUCGAUUAGCGCCUCUAGAGAGUACAAGACCGGUUUGAGUAUUCUAAUACAACAAGCAUGAAAAAUGUGGAUCGAGAUGAGCUCCGGGUUUCUGAACCCACACUCACCUCUGGCUGAUACUGCUUGGCCGCAGUGUUUUCUCUUGUGGCUCCGCGUUGUUUGAGAGGGCAUUGUGGAAUGAAAUGCCCCUCCGCGCCGCAGUAGAAACAUCGAAAUUCUCGAUGUCUUCUUUCUCUCUCCUCCUUGCUAACCCUCGAUCGACCUAGCUGCAUAGGUUCAGCCGGAGGAGCUUGUACCGCCAGAUUCCCCUCACUGUAUGUUGAGCGGCGACUUUGUAGCAGUCGGUCAAGACGGAUGGCCAGGCUGAUGAGCGAAUCGAGGGUUAGUUGAUCAUUGCGACAUGCAAGUUCAGUCACGACGUCAGGAUUUAAUCCUCUGCGAAACAUGGUUUUAGAGCGGGUUGGUUCCAUCCACUUCUAGCUGCUACGGUGCGAAAUUCCAGCGCAUAGUCCGCCACGCAGCGUGUCCCUUGUUGCAGAGUUAACAGUUCCUCCCCAGUCUCCCUGUUGUCGGGAGAAUGAUCAAAUACAAUCCGGAAUCGCUCGGUCAGUUGAUCAUAUGUAGUGAUGGAACCAUCUGCCUGCCCCCACUCGGCUGUGGCCCAGAGUAAUGCUCUUCCGGUUAACAACUCCAUAAAAUGGAUGAUCUUGCGAUUUUCCGUCAUUUCUGGGUAGGUAGAAAAAAAAACGGAGCACUGAAGGAGGAAACCUCGGCAACGGGUCGGAUUUCCGUCAUAUUUUUCCGGUGCCGGGGUGGGAGGAAGACGCAGAGAUACUGUAGUAGCGGCUGGCGCGGCCUGGUUUAGCUUAGCUACCUGUUCGUUCAGGUUGGCUAGUUGUUGAAUAUGGCCGCUUAGAACCCGGCCGUGGCUUUCAAUGGCUUGUUGCACACGCGGAUCACCCGCUGCUUCCAUUGUAAGUGGCGAAGUAAUCUGUCACGUACCGUGGGUGGAGACGGAGGCAGUCGCGGGUGACAGGAAUCAAGGCAGAAUAAUCCAACGGGGACAGACAAAGUUCGUGGUCGAUAAACAGGCGAGGAUCAGGCGAUCGGUCAAACAAACAAAAGGAGGCAAGGCAGAGCUCGAAGUCAGUGGCGGAAAAACUGGUCAAAAGGUAGCUUAGUCAAUGUACGAGAAACGGCUUAGAGAAUGACAGAGAAACGAGUCAACUGAACAUUACUUUGCAAAGUCUCCUCUCUUCCAAAGUCUCUCUUAUACUGUGGUGUGAUUGUGUUUGUAAUGGCUUGCAGGUGUGUGCUUAGAACUCUGGGGAGGGUGAGCACAUGCAUGAGCGGGAGGUGUCGUUUGCAGCGGCCAUGUUGGGAGUGAGUGUUGCCUCCUGGGAAAUUGAGUCUUGGCAGGGCUGAGAUAUGAGACCGACAGUGUUAUGACCCCGGUCUAGGGUCGAGGUGCAAUAUAAAAAAAAGUAUAAACAAAAACAAAUCAGACUCAGAAAUAAUGAGGUUGACAUCUUCGAAUCUUACAAAUUUAAUGAUUACAAGAAAAAUAAUCCAAAACAAACAGAAUCACUCCGAAAGCACCACACUUCAGGGCUGGGCAAGGCCAAAAUAAUAAACAAAACAGUCGCUAUCUUCCCCGUAUCAAUUUAACUAACUAAACAAAAAAAAAAAGUAUGUCAAGAGAAAAUACAGAGUCUAAACUGACAGUUCUACUAAUUCUAAUUAAAAUAACUAGAUAGCUUAUUAGCUGAUGUGAUUGACCUGUCGGUUCUCCAUCUCCAAUUCUCUAUCUCUAUUUCAGCCGCAGUGUAGACAGUACGGUGACCAACGUCCAACGCUCGCUCAAAUUUUUUUUAAAAACUAACAAAAAAGUGAACCAGAUGCCCCUGUAAAAACCCGUUUGGACAUCUUACCUUGCGUUUUCGUAAUUUCGUAACUAACUCUGAGUAGCUUGUGAAAAGAUCAGUCCUGUGUGUGCACCAUUCCUGUCUGACUUCCUGUUCGUCUAAAUUAUUUUAUGUAACUAUUUUGGAUAUUUUGAAUGUGUGUGUUGAUUUAGACACAUUAGCAUAAUGCUAAUGUAACCCAGAGGUAAAAUAGGCAAUAAAUAAAUAAAUAAGUCCUGAGUGAAAUAAAUAUGCAAUAAAUGUUAUGUACAAGUGAUUAUACAUUUUAUGUGCUAACUAUGUGGAAGUGCGUUAUGCUGAAAAGAUCGCUUGUGAACUAAAAGGGAGGUUUUUUUUUUGUAAACCUUUUAUCAUCCAAUAGGGCGUAUUGUUAUUGGGACAUUAGCCUGUAAGGUCGAGUGUUACUACAUCCCAGCCAAUAGAAUGGUUAGGCCCGCCUCUCAGCCAUUCACGCUAGCGAGGGAGAUGGGAAGUGAUGUCAGUGGUAACUGAAUCAUCGUAGCGUUACAUGCACACUAACCUGCAUACAUAGCAGCAAAACUCGGGUAUUUGGAUGAAAACACAACGUACCCACACAGCAUGAGUUGCUAAGUGAUGAAGAAAAAAAAGAUAGAUCUUAUCUUUAUAAACCUGCCAAUUCAAAUGAAACCCAUUCGAACAGAAAGUCAAACAAUAUCUUUCUACAAUGGUUUCAAUUCGAGUAUAUUAAAUGGCCUUUAGCAAAAGUUCUUUAUUCAUAAACGUAAACGGAUAAUAAAUGUUCUGUUUUUGUAUACUUUUAGUUAAAAUUUAUUUCUUUUUUUUAUUUUUAAUGACAAGUAUGCCUUAAAAGUACUGAAGGUGCUGCUCUGGUGAUGCUCUGACCGGGUUAGAGUUUCUGUUUAUUUAAUUUUAUUACUGUUAUCUCCUUGGCUUUACUUGUUACACUGUUAUAUUAUUUGUUACAAGUCUUUAAAAGGUAAGGACAUUAUAUUUAUUAUUGUGUGCAGACUGUUUAUCAGUCUUGGUAAUUUUGUUGGUUAGUCCAGCUUACGCUCUGAGUUGUUUUCACAUUGUGGACAACGUUCGGUUUCUGUAGGAUACACUGCUGUCUCAUUUGUUUAUGGAGACUCUGGGUGUGUGGGUGUUUGGAGGAUUGUGAGAGUGAGCAGAACAUGCCAAUGCUUUGAAGGAUGUAAUGUUAUUUAAUUGCGAAUCUGUUUUUAGAGGAUUUAAACCUAACAUGGUGAACAAAUUUAUAUUAUAGAAUUCAGGCAAUUUUACUGGGGUUAUCUCGUACAGUGUAGCAAGUAAUAAUUUGGACAGACCUUUGUAAUAUCACAGUCUAAAACUGGAUUUAAAGAGAAGCAAAUUAGUAAAUGAAUCACAGGUAAAUGUAUCACUUGAAUAUGAAUCUCAUGAAAAUGAAUCACAUGUAAAUGAAUCACAUGAAAAUGUAUCACUUGAAUAUGAAUCUCAUGAAAAUGAAUCAUAUGUAAAUGAAUCACAUGUAAA